GAUGAGCGCUGGCGGCGUGCCUAAUACAUGCAAGUCGAGCGAACGGACGAGAAGCUUGCUUCUCUGAUGUUAGCGGCGGACGGGUGAGUAACACGUGGAUAACCUACCUAUAAGACUGGGAUAACUUCGGGAAACCGUAGCUAAUACCGGAUAAUAUUUUGAACCGCAAGGUUCAAAAGUGAAAGACGGUCUUGCUGACACUAAUAGAUGGAUCCGCGCUGCAUUCUCUAGUUGGUAAGGUAACGGCUUACCAAGGCAACGAUGGAUAGCCGACCUGAGAGCGUGGUCGGCCAGCCUGGAACUGAGACACGGUCCCGACUCCUACGGUAGGCCGCGGUCGGGAAUCUUCCGCGAAGGGCGAAUGCCUGACGUUGCAACGCCGCGUGAGUCAUGAAGGUCUUCGGAUCGUAAAGCUCUGUUAUUAGGAAAGAACAUAUGUGUAAGUAACUGUGCUCAUCUUGACGGUACCUAAUCAGAAAGCCACGGCUAACUCCGUG
rnacentral:rRNA from 1 species